CAGUAGCCGCGGUAAUACGUAGGGUGCGAGCGUUAACCGGAAUUACUGGGCGUAAAGCGUGCGCAGGCGGUUAUAUAAGACAGAUGUGAAAUCCCCGGGCUCAACCUGGGACCUGCAUUUGUGACUGUAUAGCUAGAGUACGGUAGAGGGGGAUGGAAUUCCGCGUGUAGCAGUGAAAUGCGUAGAUAUGCGGAGGAACACCGAUGGCGAAGGCAAUCCCCUGGACCUGUACUGACGCUCAUGCACGAAAGCGUGGGGAGCAAACAGGAUUAGAUACCCGUGUAGUCCCUGUCUCUUAUAA
rnacentral:rRNA from 1 species